UGAAUGGCAAAACGAAAGCUCAACUGUCUCCACAGAUUAAUCAAUGAAAUUGAUCUUUCCGUGCAGAAGCGGAAAUAUUUUUAUAAGACAAAAAGACCCUAUGGAGCUUCAAAUUUAAAUUAAUUAUAUAUGCUAAAAAUACAAUACAUAAUUUAAUGUAAGAUUUUAGGUUGGGGCGACCACGGAGUAAACUACAACCUCCGAGAUAAAUAAUUAAGAAAAACACUUCAAGAUAAUAAGACAAUUAAUAUACUUGAUCCAAUAUUUGAUCAACGAACCAAGUUACCCUAGGGAUAACAGCGCAAUCCUCUUAAAGAGUUCAUAUCGACAAGAGGGUUUACGACCUCGAUGUUGGAUCAGGGCCCCCUAAUGGUGCAGCAACUAUUAAGGGUUCGUUUGUUCAACGAUUAAAGCCCUACGUGAUCUGAGUU
rnacentral:rRNA from 1 species